rnacentral:rRNA from 1 species
GAUGAACGCUGGCGGCGUGCCUAAUACAUGCCAGUCGAGCGAACGGACGAGAAGCUUGCUUUUCUGAUGUUAGCGGCGGACGGGUGAGUAACACGUGGAUAACCUACCUAUAAGACUGGGAUAACUUCGGGAAACCGGAGCUAAUACCGGAUAAUAUUUUGAACCGCAUGGUUCAAAAGUGAAAGACGGUCUUGCUGUCACUUAUAGAUGGAUCCGCGCUGCAUUAGCUAGUUGGUAAGGUAACGGCUUACCAAGGCAACGAUGCAUAGCCGACCUGAGAGGGUGAUCGGCCACACUGGAACUGAGACACGGUCCAGACUCCUACGGGAGGCAGCAGUAGGGAAUCUUCCGCAAUGGGCGAAAGCCUGACGGAGCAACGCCGCGUGAGUGAUGAAGGUCUUCUGAUCGUAAAACUCUGUUAUUAGGGAAGAACAUAUGUGUAAGUAACUGUGCACAUCUUGACGGUACCUAAUCAGAAAGCCACGGCUAACUACGUG